rnacentral:rRNA from 1 species
UGGGGAAUCUUGGACAAUGGGGGCAACCCUGAUCCAGCCAUGCCGCGUGAGUGAUGAAGGCCUUAGGGUCGUAAAGCUCUUUCGCCUGUGAAGAUAAUGACGGUAGCAGGUAAAGAAACCCCGGCUAACUCCGUGCCAGCAGCCGCGGUAAUACGGAGGGGGUUAGCGUUGUUCGGAAUUACUGGGCGUAAAGCGCACGUAGGCGGAUCGGAAAGUUGGGGGUGAAAUCCCGGGGGCUCAACCCCGGAACUGCCUCCAAAACUAUCGGUCUAGAGUUCGAGAGAGGUGAGUGGAAUUCCGAGUGUAGAGGUGAAAUUCGUAGAUAUUCGGAGGAACACCAGUGGCGAAGGCGGCUCACUGGCUCGAUACUGACGCUGAGGUGCGAAAGUGUGGGGAGCAAAACAGGAUUUAGAUACCCUGGUAGUCCACACCGUAAACGAUGAAUGCCAGUCGUCGGGUAGCAUGCUAUUCGGUGACACACCUAACGGAUUAAGCAUUCCGCCU